AGCGGUGAGCCGAGAUCGCGCCAUUGCACUCCAGCCUGGGUAACGAGAGCGAAACUCCGUCUCAAAAAAAAAGAAAAAGAAAAGAAAAGAAAAGACAAUGCCAAAGGGAACUGAACCUCUCACGCUCUCCAACUCUGCUGUCUGGUUGCCAUGGGAGGCCCUGGGGAGAAAUGGCCACUGAGGCCCGUCUGGCUUGUGGGAGACACUCAGGGGGACCAGCCAGCCUUCCAGGUACAUUCUGAACACAGAAGCAGAUAGGAUCUUCAUUUUCUUCAGCCUCAGAGAGAGAUCUGACGCCCUUGAUCCUCUCUGUCCUCUUCUUCCUGAGCAAUCACGCCUUCAUUUCUUUCUUUUUCCAUCCGUUACAGGUAGUUAGCCAAGCAUGAAAGCGGCAGAAGAGGGCUCUUCUCCCACCCACCAGGAAUGUCAGGCAAUCAUUGGUGAUGAUUUCACAGUUAUCACAUUGCCUCUCUAAAAAUGAUAACUCAGCAGCCGGUGCCAGGGAGAGACAAGCUCCUGAUGGUCCACAGCUGUUACAUUAAAGUGUUAAUUGAAUGCAGGUGCCAGGGAGAAGCAAAAAAGGCUUCCAAUAAAAUCUCAGAUAUUGGGCGAGCGAGCCCAGACAUGCCCAUUAAGAGACAAAAUGGAGGAGUACGACCUUCCGGGGCCUCAGAAAGUCUCGGAUGGGCAUGCGUACAACUUCCUAAACACACUGGCCACCUCGCUUCCCAAGCUAAGGAGGGCGCCGCGCAUGCGGGCAGUCCACCCUAAGGGAAGAAUCAUGGGAAAGACGUGCAAAACGCCAGGAGUGGGCCAACCGGGGAAGUCCUAGGAUCAAGGUUAAACAUCGCACUUGACCUUCACAGUGCCCACUUUGAUUUCUUCCAAGUGAACUUUCCUUUCUUUACUGCUCUAAAGCUUUUUAACACACUUCUACUCUUGCUCUGAAACUUGCCUUGGUCUUUUUUCUGCCUUAUGCCCCUCAGUCAAGUUCUUUUGAGGAGGCAAGAACUGACGUUGCUGCAGUCCGGUAUAGAUUCGCCUGCGGCAACUCAGAUACUUUCCACCCCUAACACGUCUAUCUUUCCACAAAACCUCUGGAAUCCUUAAUAACUACAUCUCUUUCCCUGAGAAAUUUCUCCUGUUUAUACACCUUCCUGCUUUCCCAACCUCAGUCCUUCUCUCUGGGAUCUGAAUUCUAAAUAAAUUGACUGUCAGUUUAAUGUCUGAGAAUUCAGAUAGUGCAAUACUACCUAGGCACAAACUCUGCCUUUCCAAGCUGUAAUUUUAAACUCCAUUAUUGCAUUCAUAACAAAGCAAGCUGCACGGGAAGGAGCACCGGUCUGCAUUCUGACAUCUUAAGAAAGAAGAUUAGACAGAAUCUGUCCCUAAGGCUGGAGUGUAGUGGCCCCAUCACUGCUCACUGCAGCCUCGAUCGCCCCAGGCUUAAGUGAUCCUUCCACCUCAGGCUCCCAAGCAGCUGAGACCACAGUGCCUUUUAUUGUCUAAACUUACCCAGAAGCAAGUUGAGAAGGAAGCUUGGGAAAACGUUACCAGGGUUUAGCUUCCUAUGGUACAGAAAAGAGCUGAGAGAGAAGGCAAAUUGAUCUGAGAGCAAAUAGUUGCUAUGCUGUGGAAGGCCCAAGCCCCAUGGAGAGAAUAUGCAUAGGUGUUCUGGCCCUAGCUGAGCUCUUGGCCAAAGUAAGCAUCGAAAACCAGCCAUAUUGUUCUUUCUACAUCACUCGGCACUUCAAACAGAACUUGAGACCAUCUAAUAUGACUUCGUAAACAGUUUUAGGAAUCUCUCCCAAAUGCCGUGUCAAGAGUCUGUUCUUGAUGGUGGUUCUCCUGGAGCUCCUGGAUUCACCUGCCUGCCUCCUCUCAACUAGCGCAAAGACCUGUGUGGGAGACCAGAAUAUGCCUUACCAUAGCAUGAAGGACUGUUGAGUUGAAGGCGUUAAAGAAGAAAUGAUAUAGCAGAACUUUCUGCCCUCCCUCUAUUUGCCUAAAAGCUGGACAUAGAUUUAUAAACACAAAAGGCUCCAAGGAAUAGAAGUUUAUCAAAAGAUAGAAGAGGAGGAUAUUUGAGAGGAGGGGAAGUACCUAAUACUGAAAACUAAUACAGUCCGGGAUACAUGGAAGAUGCUCAGUAACACUUAUUCAAUCUAAAUUACCCUAUUAGAUAGUGCAGAAUUCUCUCUGCAUUGCUGUUUUCUUUCCUGCAGUCAGCUCUGUCAGGUUGAACAGAAAGUGAUAAAUAAUGAGGAAAAUAAUUCAUGUUGUUCCCUUGCUGCAUUGUUGUAUUGCCUACUGCACCACCAGUAAUAGAAAACUAGGCCAUGAGCAUUUCAUUGCUAAUACACUCCAGUGGCUUUUCUGCCUUGGUCUUCUAGCUUUGGCCUCAUUGCAUCACACUAGUGAUUAGAACAAAUAUGCCAGACUGUGCUGUGUUUUCCCAAAUAAUUUUUUUAUUUUGCAGGGUAGAAGGAACUGAUGAUAACCUGCUCUAUAAAAAGAGAUAAGCAAAGGCAUUUUCAUCAUGGCCUUCUUUCUAAAAGGCUUUCCCAAUAGCCUGUUUUUAAAAAUAAACAAAUAUGCAUAAACCCAUAGAACAAUAUUACACCAGACAUACAUUUAAGGAGUAUGUCUCCAUUAAAAACAACUGUCUAAGAAACAUGCACCUGAGUUUCUGGGGAAGUAUACAUAAUAGAAAAUCUUAAACCUGGCCAAGUUCUCCAAGUUAAUCUUAUUUGUUCUUAUAGGAUUUGAUGCCAUUUAACCAUGUUCAUCUACUUUUCCAUCUUGUCCUAUAGGUGGACUAUCUAUCUAUAUAUUUUUAAAAAGAGAUUCAGGAAAAACUGAUAGAUUAGAAAAUUUGUUCUAAGAACAUUUAAGAUCUCUCUUAAAAAAUUUCAAAUAAAAACACAGUAUUGUUAACUCCAGUCACCAUGCUGUAUAUUAGAUUUAGAUCCCCAGAACUUACCCAUCUUAUUACUGAAAGUUUGUACACUUUGACCAACAUUGCCCUAUUUUCCCCAUUCCCUUACCUCCUGGCAAACACCAUGCUGUGUUCUAUUUCUAUUAGUUUACUGUUUUUUAGGUUCCCUAUAUAAGUGAGACCAUACAGCAUUUGUUUUUAUGAUUUUUUUUUUAAAUAAAAGAGCUGGUGUCAACUUCCAUUCUUUGACUUUAAGAUUAAAAAGUGUGGAAAUACUGUGGUAUGACCUAAGGCAGAGGCAGGGCUGCAAGCUACAGAUGCCCAUGUGAUCAUGGACAACGGUGCACAGGUCACUAGUCAUCACUAUUUCUUGUUAUUGGUGGGACUGCAAACUGGCACAUUUUUAGUGAUAUUACUCAUAAGCACACUGUGGUUGUUUAAAUUGGUAGGGAUGAUAAUGAGAGUAAUUUGUGGGUAAUUAAGUCUCUCCUUUCCACCUGACAAUUAUGCAAACUAGAAGGAGAUGAACAGCAUAGUUACGUGUUGCUUCAACUAAGAAACAUUUCAUAAGAAUUUUGAGUAAUGUGGGUAGGUGAUUAAAAUGUUAAAGGGGAAAAAGUUAAAAACUGGUACGUUUUCUAAGAAGUUUUAUUGAGGUAUAAUUUACAUAUCAUAAAGUUCACUCAUGCUAAGCAUACAACUCAUUGAAUUUUAGUAUAUUUAUGGAGUUGUACAAUCAUCACAAUCUAGUUUUAGAACAUUUCCGUUAUUCAAAAAAAUCCUUUGUGUCCAUUUAUAGUUACUCCCUAUUUCCACCUCCUGUCCUAGGCAGCCACUAAUCUACUUUCUGUCUCUAUAGACAUACUUGUCUUUCCAGGACAUUUCAUUUAAAUAAAAUCACACAGUGGGUGUUCUCUUGUGUCUGGCUUCUUUCACAAAGAAUAAUGUUUUUGAGGUCCAUCCAUGGUGUAUAUCAACACUUCAUUCCUUUUCAUUGCUGAAUAGUUCUCCAUUCUGUGGCUAGACCACAUUUUAUCUGUUCAUUCAUUAAUGGAUAUUGGAUUUAUUUCCAGGUUUUGAUCAAUGUGAAUAAUACUACCAUGCAUAUUAGUGUACAAGUUUUUGUGACAUUUAAGAGUGAAAUUGCUUGCCUGGCAUGGUGGCUCACGCCUGUAAUUCUAGCACUUUGGGAAGCCAAGGCAGAUGGAUCACCUGAAGUUAGGAGUUCAAGACCAGCCUGGCCAACAUGGUGAAACCCCAUCUCUACUAAAAAUACAAAAAUUAGGCAUGGUGGCUCACACCUACCAGCUACUUGGGAGGCUGAGACAGGAGAACCACUUGAACUCAGGAGGAGGAGAUUGCAGUGAGCUGAGAUCAUGCCACUGUACUCUAGCCUGGGCAACAGAGUGAGACUCAGUCUCAAAAAAACAAAAUGAAACAAAAAAGAGUGAAAUUGCUAGAUCAUAUGGUAAGUCAAUGUUUAACUUUUUAAAGAAAAUUGAUAAGCUGUUUUCUGAAAUGGCUGUGCUAUUUUAUAUUCUCACCAGUAAUGUAUAAGAUUCCAGUUUCUCCUCAUCUACAGCAAGACUUAUUAUUGCAUAGCUUUUUAUUAUGCUUAUCUUAGUGGGUUAAAAAAAAGGUGUCUCAUUGUGGUUUUGAUUUUGUACUUCUCUAAUGAAUAAUGAUGUGGAGUAUAUUUUUAUGUCACAAUUGCUUAUUGGCAUAAUUUAUUGGUAUAGGGUAUUUGGUUAAAUGUCUGUUCAACUCCUUUACCCAUUUUUAAAUAGGGUUAUUUGCUUAUUCCAUCUCCGUUUUACCUCCAGGAUGGAAGCACUAUCUCAAAUUUUAAGGUCAUUAUUCCUUUGCAUUAAAAAAAUUUCUGCCAUGUAUUUCUAGAUAACACAUUGUUUUGCUUCUUUUUGAACUGUAUAAAAAAUGGAUUUAUACUGAAUGGAGUCUUGAGCAUAAAAUCCUGAGUGUCUUCCUAUAUUAAGUUUUCAUGUUGGGCAAAAACAAUUAUCUUCCAACAAUGGUACUAUGAUAGUUAAAGCAGAAAGUUAUCUUUGAGAAAAAAAAAGGAUUACAAAUGGGAACACAGAGCUGUCGAUUCUUGCCUUUUGGAAUAUUUUAAUGGAGUUAUUGUAAGUGGGGUAUAAGAACAAUAAAAUGGUGUUCUUAGAAUGUAUGAACAUCAACUAUUGCACUUGUUUGAUAUUAGAGCGUAGAGGUAUUUGCCUCUAGGUAGUUUUAACCUACAGAUUUUUAUUUUUCAGUUUGUGAGACUAAUUUUUCUAGCUUUCAUGUCUCUUCCUUACCUGGAAUCUGUUAAUUACAGCUCUUAAUCAUUUCACUGCUUUCAGCAUGCUGUUUCUUAUAUGAUAUUGUGAUAAGGAUUACACUGAGUAGGCUCUGAUUAGGAGUCUAGGGAUUCCCUCUGGGAUAAGUUAAUGAGCUCUAGCACAUGGACUUUGUAACAUUUAUUUUGGUUGCAGAGGCCCCUUUUUGUUUCCUUCCUUGUUCUCAACUUUUACUGAGCAGAAUUGUAGGAGUAUGGACUUGAAAACAAACAGAUUUGGUUUUGAGUCCUUGUUCUGUCAUUUUCUGUUUUUUAAAGAACAAAUCACUCCAUUAAAAACAUUUUCUAAAUGAGGAUAGGAAUGUAUUGAUCACAGUAUGACAUAAAAUAAGAUGAUAUAUUUAAAGCACUCAAUAAAUUAUAAAUAUUAUAUUUUUAAUAUAUAAAAAGCCUUAUCAACAUCAAACUCCUAAAUUGCUCUUUGGUGACAUCUGAGAAUAGGCAAAAUAAAAAAAGUUUAGACAAUAAAAUACAAAAAUUAGUCUCAUGAGCUGAAAAAAAAAUCCCUGCAUUAUAGAACUACCUAGAGACAAACUGUACUUCACAGAUCUGUAAUGCUUAUUAGACAGGACAAGGGAGGCAAAACUGAGAAUAAAUAUUGGAUUGGUUGGAAGUGGUGGUGAUAGGAGCAGUGAUAGGAAGAAAGUACUCCAGCAAAGUUAGAUGAGGAAAAACUUCCACAUUCCUGGUGAGCAACUUAAUGUCAGAAAUUAUACCAUCAAAAAAAGUCCUGUAGGGGGGCUUAAAUAUAACAUAGCUCAGAGUUCUCAAAUUGAUCACCACCAAGACUUUGUUUUAUUACUUUUCCCUCCAUCAACUCCAUUGAAUAAAUCGGUUUACCAAGAGAGCUGAUCUAUCAGUGAAUUAAUAAAUAAUGUGCCUGGGAGAACAGAAUCUGGAGAGGGGAAAGAUUUUUUCUCCUUUUCCUCUCCAGGUAAUAAAGAGGGGCUGCGUUUGGGACAGCAGAGGCCAUGAGAUACAGAGUUAAGAGGAGGUGGACUCUUAGCUUUCAGUUUGGCCAAGGUUUAUGGGCUUUCUCUGAGCCUUAUGUAGAGACACCAGUGUUUUUCCUUCUGUGCUGGAUUGAGUUCAACCUAAGUGCAGUAAAACUAUAGGGUUCUUUACCACAAGGGUCUUGCAGCAUUGGAAAGUAGGAAGACAACUUCAUGGGCUUGGCAGCCAAUCCCCAGAAGGUACCUAGAGCUGUGGUAAUAUAUUUAUGAUGGAUUUGCAAACAGCAGACACCAUCUAAAAGAUAGGAGGGGAAGAAUACAAUUUUACUGUUUUGUGGGCAUUUGUGUAACUUCCCAGGGAUUCUCAGAAGUGGCUAUGGGAAAUAUGAUUAAGGAGGUAGCUGAUAAUUGUGCAGAUGAGGGUGAUAAAUCAGAUACAUUUUGGUGUAAAUCAUGAUAUAUGGUCAUUCAAAUCCAUAGAGAUGUAAGAGCUAAAGGUUUUUUAAUUAUGUAAUUUAAUUUUUAUAAUGUAUUAAUCUAGGACAAAAGUAAUUAUUAUGCAAAUAUAAUUAAAUUCUUUAGAAAUAUGUUAUUUUAGUUAGCAUACAUGUUGUCAUUCAUGCAUGAGUCUCUAGUAAGGCAUAGAUCCUUUCUAUUUCAUUCUAGAAUAGCUGUGUGUUAAAGAAGAUAACUCAGAGCCAUAAGUGGAUUGUACAGCAGCCAGCUAUGCUUGUAGCAAUUUUGCCCAUCUCAUCUCUAAAGAUAAAAUACUUUAGUAUUGGGUGGAAUUGGUGAAGAGACAGAUGUCUCAGGUUUGUGGCAGAAUGUCAUUUUGGUAAUUAAUGGGGAAAGCAAAGACCCAUGGCUUCCUUACCACUAAUUAAGAAGCCACAGUACAGACAUAAGGAGAAGAAAGAUCUAGCAUGGUGGCAGGUUGGAGUGGAAGGGUGGAGGCUGUAGCAACUAGCUGAGGGAGCAUUUAUGGGCUUAGUUAUUUGAACAAAUGUGAACUCGAAGGAGGCAAUCCUUCAAAACGGAUCCCAAGUGACUAACUGGGCCUAAAUUUAAAAGAGAGCCAAGGGACGGGCUAUUUUCUGGCUAAAAGUCACACACAUCCUCUGAGUUGCACUAAAGCCACACUUUUUUAACUUUGGGACUUUCAGAACUCACCUGAACCAACCAAUCAGAGCUUACCUGUCUCAGCCAAUCAGGGAUUGGCUCUAUCAAUCAUUCAGGGCUCAGCUGUAUUAACCAAUCAGGACUCAGCUGUGUCAGCCAAUCAGAAAAAAGGAAGUUUGAAUUCUUUAUUUACAUAAAGGGACCUUCUCAGGAAGCUGGGCUGAAACUUUUGCUAUAAAACAAAAGUGAUUGUUCUCUGGAAUCACCUUUAUUUUACACAUUAGGCUGUGUCUUACCAGACUGCAAACUGUUUACUGGAAUAAAGUCUCUUUCCUUCAAAUUCCUUUUCAGAGAACUUUGUUCACGGUAGGCCCUAAAGUGCCUACUAAGAAGUUUCAGGGACAGGUCAUUCAGACCUUCCCAGCAGAGGGCAGUCACAGCUUGGUUUUUCUCAGGUAACGGUGGCUAUAUUCCUUGGGUUUCACUGUCUGGGCAACGCUUUGGGUGGGGCAGUUCCCUCUCUUUUGCAGAGAAUCUUCUCUAAUCUAUGGUUAGGGAAAAGGCUUUUAUUGAGGUCUAAAAUUCCAGAGAAGACCUUGGCGAUAUUAUAACUACAUUUUUUUCAUACAGGGUAUAGAAAUGAUGAUAUAUCCACAUCGAUUUUCUUUUUGCUUCCCUGCUCUCAGGUUUAAUCAAUGAUGAUGUUGGAAUGUGUCUGUUCAGAAUUUAAUAUGAUUUAGACAAAGGCUUGAAGUUAUGGUUGCUUAAUUAAAAUUUUCUCUUGUAAAAGAAGAAAACAUAGACGAUUGAAGGUGGAAAACUUUGAGAUUUAAGAAAUAUAUGAGGAAUCUCCUCUCCUGCCUCCACCAGCUUAAGGAAAUUCAAACCCCUAGAAAGUACUUAUUAUUUAAAUGAUUAUUUUUCUAGUGAUUCCUGAUAAUUUAUUAAAGCCUAUAGUCCACAAAUCUCUGUUAAUUAACUUUAUAUUUAAAAAUUAAAAAUGAAAUGUUAUGCCAUUCUUACCAACAACUAGGUUUUAGAUAACGAUGUGGUAUAAAUGAUUUCGAUUAAUUACUGUUUCCUUCUCUUCUUUUAUUUAAAUUUAGGAUUCAAUAUUUAUUUUUGCCAAAUUAUUUAAAAAUUUUUUUCUGUUUCAUUAGGGAAGUUAGUUCAAGAGACUUCCCUCGCAAUAAACUGCCAAGCAGUUUAUUACAAAGUCUUACAUAGUGCAUUCUUAAUUUAAAUAUUAUUUGUUUAUAGCUGAAUUUUCAUGAAUGAUAUAAAGUUAUCAGACAUUAUAAUACAAGAAACUAUAAAUAUACAGGAGUGCAAAUAUACACACGGAUAGUGUGUACUGUGUUCUGUUUCCAUCCUUUAUCUUCAUGAUUUAACUCUAUGGGGAGGGCCAGUGCUCAUCUUCUGGUCUCGUAUAGUAACUGAUAUGGCUCUACUAUGGCCCUUCUCAUAUUGCUGUGUGUAGUGGUUUACGUAUCUGGGAGCCUCUGGAGGGUAAGAGCUGAGGGUCAUUAACAUUUCUAACACAUGUUGGGUGAAGGUGCUUAAUAUAUGUCUACUGAGAGUAAAAGAGUGGUUCUUCUGAUUUCAUUUUGUUUGAAUCUAUUUUGGGUUCUAGGUUUCAGAUUCAGGUUGACAUUUGACCUAGUGCAGAAAAAUUCUCCCAAAUAUAGGCAGAGCUAGUUAUUAUGCCUUGGAAAGUUUUCAGAAAGAGAUAUGAUCUGUCCCUGCUUUUUCUAAAUUCACCAGUUAUCUAGCAAGUCAUCUGUGUCAGUGCUUAUUUCUUCAGUAUUUCUGAUACUUUUCCCAAAGAGUAUUAUUAAUGCAUUGUGUUUGUGACUUCCUUUCCUUUCUUUAUAAAAAAGUUUAUUUUUAAAAAUGUCUCCCUAGCUUUACUGAGAUAUAAUUAACAAAUAAAAAUUGUAUAUCUUAAGGGUACACAACAUGUUUUGAUAUACAUAUGCGUUGUGAAGUAAUGACCACAAUCAAGUAUUCCUUCUUCACCUGUGUCAGAUGUGUUGCUGGCUCCUGUUUUGUUGCAAUGUGCUUCCUUUGAAAACAGAUAAAAUGUUGUCACAAAAUGAAAUGAUUGCAUCACCUAUAAAUUCAUUAUUACUUUAAAGUCCUACCUUGGGCCAAUGUUUCUAAGAUUAGUAUCUUUAAAUGAGCAGUUCACCUUAGAGGGAAAAAGGAAAUUACAUUAGGUCUCAGUUCUUUCAUCAAGGAGGCUGGUGGUAAAAUUAAAAAUUUAUUUAUACUUUCCAAUAAUUUUCUUAAUUAUUUUCAAAUAUGCUGAAGGCUUGCUCAUAUAUUUUAUGAGUUGCAUGUAUAAAGAUCAUAAAAACUUAACUCAAUUAUUAAAACACUAGUGAGGGUAGAAAGCAAUCUCAUUUACCACAGUCUCAUUUGCUAUACGAGACAAGACAUAGCCUUUAGUUAAUCUGUACAACUGUGCUUCAGAUUGAACAUAAAAUGCCUUCAUGUACCCAUAAUUUUUUCUCUUUUCCCAAGAUAAGGCUAAGUAAUUUCAUAUCCUUUCUCUUUACAUCAUUUCUUAGUGUUUUCCUAUGUUUUACAUAAAAUUCACAUAAAAUUGUUAAUGUGAGUAUGAGGUUUGCAUACAGUAUGAGUGGAUAUUUUCAUGGUUUAAUCUUUUCUGCCAUUUUGCAUAUUACUUAGAGGAAUAUAUUUGAAUGAUUCUUAUUUACUUUGUAAAAGUAAUUUUUCCCCUUUUUAUAUUCUGACCUUGAUUUAGGGAAAGUUGUUACUUUAUUAGUGACAUCAAAUAAUUCUCUGAUAAACAUUGGGUUACUAAAACAGUGUAAUGGUCCACAGGAGAAUGUAUUAGGUAGGUCACAAGGAGAAAACCACUUUUGUUUUUAUGAGCAUGUCAGCGUACAAUAAGGCAGUGCCUGGUUAGGUGCCUGGAUGAUGACACCAGGCUUGAGUGGUUUGGGUCUUGGUGCCACCAUUUACUUACUAGAUGCUCUGCAUUUUGGCUCGCCAUCUACAAAAUGAGCACAAUAGUAAUAAUAAUGCUAACAUUGUAGGUUAUUGUGAAGCAUAAUAAGAUAAUUGAUAUGAUUUGGCUCUGUGUCUCCAUCCAAAUUUUAUCUCAAACUGUAAUCCCCUUGUGUCAAAAGAGCAACCUAUAAUCCCCACAUAUCCAGGGAGGCAGGUGAUGGAAUCAUGGGGACAAUUUGCCAUAUGCUGUUCUCAUGAUAGUGAGUGAGUUCUCAUGAGAUCUAAUGGUCUUAUAAGCAUCUGGUAUUUCCCCUGCUUUUACUUCUCUCCCCUGCUGCCAUGUGAAGAAGGUUCUUGCUUCCCCUUCACCUAAGCCAUAAUUGUAAGUUUCCUGAGGCCUCCCCAGACAUGUGGAACUAUGAGUCCUUUCCUUUACAAAUUACCCAGUGCUGGGUAGUAGAGGGUGAAAGGGUUUGGAAGCGUGAAAAGAAGAUAGGAAGAUGUGAGAAAGUCUGGACCUUCUUAGAGACUUGUUGAAUGGUUUGGACCAAAAUGCUGAUAGUGAUGUGGACAACGAAGUCCAGGCCGAGGUGGCCUCCAAUGGAGAUGAGGAACUUACUGGCAACUAGAGUAAAGAUCACUCUUGCUAUGCUUCAGCAAAGAGACUGGUGACAUUUUGCCCUUGCCCUAGAGAUCUGUGGAACUUUGAAUUUGAGAGAGAUGGUUUAGGGUAUUUAGCAGAAGAAAUUUUUAAGCAGCAAAGCAUUCAAGAGGUGACAGAGCAUAAAAAUUUGGAAAAUUUGCAGCCUGACAAGCCAAUAGAAAAUGAAAACCCAUUUUCUGGGGAGAAAUUUGAGCUGGUUGCAGAAAUUUGCAUAAGUAAUGAGGAGCCAAUGUUAAUCACCAAGACAAUGGGGAAAAUGUCUCCAGGGCACAGGGCAUGUCAGUGACCUCUGCAGCAGCCCCUCUUAGCAUUCUCUGUAUAAGAAACAUAGAGUAAUGCCUACUAUAUGGUAAACACUUAAUAUACCUCAGCCAUUACUAUUAAUAAUUGUAACAGUCUGGAGAAAAUACUAAAGCAUAAUCAUUUAUGAUAUGGUUUGGCUGUGUCUCCACCCAAAUCUCAAAUUGUAGCUCCCGUAAUUCCCAUGUGUCAUGGGAGGGACCCGGUGGGAGGUAAUUGAAUCAUGAGGGUGGGUCUUUCCUGUGCUUUUCUUGUGAUAGUGAAUUAGUCUCAUGAGAUCUGAUGGUUUUAUAAAGGAAAGUUCCUCUGUACACUCUCUCUCUCUUGCCUGCCACCACGUAAGACAUGACUUUGCCGCUCAUUUAUCUUCAGCCAUGAUUGUGAGGCCUCCCCAGCCACGUGAAACUGAGUCCAUAAACCUCUCUCCUUUAUAAAUUACCCAGUCUCAGGUAUGUCUUUAUUAGCAGUGUGAGAACAGACUAAUACAAUUUAUAUAUAAAUUUAAUUCUGUCCUAUUUUGUGAAUGGGUAAAAUGAGGCGUAUAAUUUCAUGAAGUAUUUAUACAUGAAGACAUCUGUAACAAGUUAGUACCUAUUUUAUACUAGUAGGCUUCUCUUUUACUGAAAAUGACAUUUUAUCAUAUAUUAAAGAAAAUCAUAUAUACAUAUGAGCUACACUAUUUACACAAAGAAAUGCUUUUCAAAAAAACAGGAGUUGUAACUUUUGUCACUGACAAAAUAGACUUUAAUAGUAACAAAGACUAAAAGAAACAAAGGACAUUACAUAAUGGUAAAAGGAUCAAUGCAACAACAGGAGUCAAUGAUCAUAAAUAUAUAUGCACCCAAUAUAGGAACACCCAGAUACAUAGAACAAGUUCUUAAUGACCUAUAAAGAGACUUGGACUCCCGCACAAUAAUAGUGGGAGACUUUGACACACAUUGUUAAUAUUCGACAGAUCAAUGAGAUAGAAAAUUAACAGGAACAUCUAUGAUUUGAAUUCAGACCUGGAACAAGUAAACUCAGCGAAUAUUUAUAGAAUUCUUCACCCCAGGGCCACAGAACAUACAUUUUUCUCAGUAUCACAUUACACCUAUUUUGAAAGUGACCACACAAUUGGAAGUAAAUCACUCUUCAGCAUUUGCAUAGCAUUUCACAGACUUAAAGGAAAUAUUGGUUGGCUGUUUGUUUGUUAUUUUCUUCCCUUAUUCCUUCCUGUCUCCGCUGUUAAGCACAAUUAUUGGCAUAAAAAAGGUUUUUAAUACCUAUUUUUAGAUUGCAACAGAACAAGACUCCUAUUCUCUCUCCCCUUUCUCUUUCUCUUU